rnacentral:rRNA from 1 species
AACGAACGCUGGCGGCAUGCCUAACACAUGCAAGUCGAACGAGACCUUCGGGUCUAGUGGCGCACGGGUGCGUAACGCGUGGGAAUCUGCCCUUCGGUUGGGAAUAACUGAGAGAAAUUUCAGCUAAUACCUUAUAAUGUCUUCGGACCAAAGAUUUAUCGCCGAGGGAUGAGCCCGCGUAGGAUUAGGUAGUUGGUGGGGUAAUGGCCUACCAAGCCGACGAUCCUUAGCUGGUCUGAGAGGAUGAUCAGCCACACUGGGACUGAGACACGGCCCAGACUCCUACGGGAGGCAGCAGUGGGGAAUAUUGGACAAUGGGCGAAAGCCUGAUCCAGCAAUGCCGCGUGAGUGAUGAAGGCCUUAGGGUUGUAAAGCUCUUUUACCCGGGAUGAUAAUGACAGUACCGGGAGAAUAAGCUCCGGCUAACUCCGUGC